GGGGAUUUAGCUCAAUGGUAGAGCGCUUGCCUAGCAAGUGCAAAAGUGCAAGGCCCUGGGUUCGGUCCCCAGCUCCG
rnacentral:tRNA from 1 species